rnacentral:lncRNA from 1 species
UUUUUUUUUUUUGUUACAAGCUAGCUGUAUGUGUUUCAUAUGGACGAACAUCCAUACCGAAAAGUGAGAAUUUGGAAUUUUGUUGGACUGCGUCCAAUCUGAAUACACAUGCAGAGACUAUAUAUAGUCGGUGGGUUGGUCGCCAAACAUAAGGGGAAAAACAAACAUGAUGCAUAUAUGUGUGAUCCUUUUAAUCUGAUGCAUGAGAAGAAUUCACAUAAAACUUGGCACCUCAGCUUCCAUUCCAUUGGCUGCGUACGUACGUCAGCGUGUACGUAUGGACGUCGUUGUAUGCUGCUUUCGAGAAGACAGAAGAGAAUCUAUUCUGCAGUACUUGCGGUGCAGUGUGGUGCAAUGCAUGUUGUGUGGUUUGGAGAGGGACGUGAUCGAUGCUGUCGUUGUCGGUGCUAGCGACAGUGAUAGCGAGUGCAAUUAACGGCGCAGCAGGUAGGCAUCACAACACACCGACCUCACCUCAGCUCGAUCGAUCACCAACGGCUUCAGGCACGUGCAUCAUGUACAAAACAUUGCUCUUUUCAUUUCCAGUAGUUUUUAUACGUGCUUCUUUCAUUUCCAUUACUUUGGUUAUAAAUUUCCUGUGUCAGCCAAAGUACAGAACAGCUGGUUUGCCCGAGUGGUCUAAGGGGGAAGACUUAAGAUCUUCUGCACUCAAGUGCGCGUGGGUUCGAACCCCACAGCCAGCAUAUUUUUUAAGUUUUUUUUUUGCCAUAAUUUGCCUCAUAUUCUUCAUUCGAUUUUUUUUACUUCCAUGAUAUUCCUUAGAUCUCUUAUGUUUUAUACAGCUAUAAAGUUGUAGUAGUACUGCGAUUCGAAAAAAAAAUGUAACUGUUAACUUUUUGUAGAUUUUUUCCACAAGAACACAGCCGUGCACCGUUGUUAUUGAAAUAGCCACCUGGCCGGAGAGCGGCAACAAAACAUUGGACAUCUUACAUUGGAUGAUUGGAUACAAAACAAAAGCAUCCCUGAACUGAACUGAAGGCGACAUACAUUGGAUACUGAAGCAUCCCUGAAAUACCACUUCAAGAUAGACGUUCCACCAACAUAGUAGCAGGAACAUGUUGCAGUCAAUGCGUUCAGGCGUUUCCAGCGCCAUGUUGCAUGCCCCACAUCACAUACAUCAGAUGAUCAGAGUACAUUGAUACCACAAGAUAUAACAACACAUACCACGCCGCAUUGUUGUUAAAAUAUCCACCUCACGAGCAAUCCAUCGUUGGCACGGUUUAACAGUAAACAAGCAGUACGAGAUUGCAAGUUGACAACGAGCAGGCAAUCACAGAUGGUAAAAGUAAUAAAUCUGAGAUUAAAAAAAGGGAGUUUACUAGAGAAAACACAGAACGCCACUUGCAAAAAUGGCAGCAAAUACAUGGUCCACCAUUGCAUAGCAACAUUGGUGACCACUAUAUGAUGGGUAGAGUGAUCCAUCAUUAUCCGCAAAGCGAAAUAGCAUUCAUCUUCGCUGCUAGCUACCAGAGCAGAGCCAGGCCCAUGCAGCAAACCAUGAUUAAGUCGACCCGUCCGGUGCACCUCCAUCAUCAUCUGGUGAGUCCUUUCUGUCCUGGUUCUCCUUCCACUUGGCCCAGGCCCAUCUCAACACAAUGAACGCCCCAAGUGCAUACACCUAGCAGUAUAGUAGGAGGUGUCACAUUCGCAUGAAUACACUAGUCACAAGUCAACAAUAUCACAUAGUACAGGCAGACAUGGAAAUAAAGUGAAAGCAAACUAAAUAUUCAGCAUCAAACAACCACACCAAACAAGAGUAAAAUUCCUGUCGAGGAACAUACAUACUAAUAUACUAUAGAUCAAUGGUUUUUAUUAAGAUGUGGAUUACCAAUAGGAUGAUAACAUUAAUAUGAUCUUCAUCGUCUUGACGAAACAAUUACAGCUUCUUAAUGAAGCUUAAAUCCUGUCGUGUGUUACACAGCAUUAGUAGAACAUAACAAAUGAGAGGACCCAGGGGAGGAGCCAGGAAUUAGGCUUAGGGGGUGCCGAGCCAAGACAAAUCAAACCAAGAGAAAAUGGGUAUGUUUGGGACAAUGUCUGCGACGGCUGCAUCAGUUAAAACUGGAGAAUUAGAAGACCUAAUCACUAGAAAAACAUUAUUUGAAGGCUAAAUGAAUAGCGAUUCGUUAAUAACUAGUGAUUAGCCUAAAUAAUUAGUGAUUUAGUAACUAGUAAGCUUAGUGAUAUGAUUCAUUGGGGGGGCCAGCCAUGGCCCCUGCCAGCCCCCCCUUGGCUUCGCCAAUGAGAGGACCUUUGAAAGACAAGUAGCAGUUCACAGCCCAGUGAUCUCUAAGUGGCGACUGUUAGUUGUUAUUGACCCUGCCAGAAAGUAACAAUGAAAGUGCACCCUCUCUACAAGUGAUUCCGACUCUAGAGUCUAGAUGAUACACAUUCGUACUUUGUCAGCGGGCAACUAUAUAACAUUUUCAGAGCAGUGCACUGCAAACACAAAUACAAUUCGACAUGCUUAAAAACAUUGAGGCAGAAAUUCCAAGUUUCUUGAGUUUUUUAAAAAAAAUUGUGAUGUGUGAUUUUAUCCUAGUUGAAACGCCUAUAUAAAACAGAAGUAUAUAUUCUAUAGGUGCGAACUUCAAACUAUGUCAGUCUGGGUGUCAACAGUCCAUUGUAUGGUGUCCAGCUCACAAGCGUUCUGCAAAAUAUGCCUCUGAAACUUACCGAUUUAUAUGAUGGGGAAUGAGGAAAAGACUCGUCCACGACAGAUGAUACUGCAGAUUCAAACCCAAAUUGCAAGCAAAUAUCCUCGUGUUGUGGAUUGUGGACAUGUAUAUUAUACAAUCAGGAAGGACUAGUGUGCUCUCUGGUCCAGCAUACACAAGAAGGCCCAACAAUACCAUCUACUCCUAUAAGUAUAAGAUAGAUUGAACUAGGGAACCGCACAAUAAGGGGUUUGGGGUGGGUUUAACCUAAUCUAGUCUGCGGGGGCGAAUGGUAACUGGGAGGUAAAGGAUGAUGAAUCGAGAUACCUGCCAGAGGUUGCGCGGGGCCAUCUCCUCUUCGGUGGCGGGCGGCGGCGGGGCGCCUUCCUCCUCCUCGAGCUUUAUCGGCGGCGGCUGCCGGGCCUUUUGGCGCUCCGCAUCGGGGAAGAAACGGACCGUGGACGGCGGCGCGCGGCGGGCCUCCGCAUCAGAAGCCCCAUCCGCGGAGUUCUUGGCCUGCUCCGGCGCGCUCCCGGCGUUGCCCAUGGCCUCGCCUCCUCACGCUUGCUGUAUUCUAUUCUAUCACACCAGCGGCAAACUCCAACGCUCCUUUCCGUGUUAUCGACUCGAGUCGAAAGUCCCGCCUCCUUUUUCUGUGUCACGCAUUGUUUUAGUUUAACCAUCCAGAUAAUAAUGCCAAAAGUCGUUUUCUUUUAACCAUCCAGAUAAUAAUGCCAAUAGUCGUCAGUAAUCUUCGUAUUUUUCUAAAUUUAUUUUAGAAUUUUAACCGACGUUAUUCUUCUAGUGGUAUGGGACGUGCUAUUCUUUCAGUAGCAAGUGACGUGUCCGUCGACAGCAAGUGGCAAGUGAUGUGCCCAUCGACAGCAAGGUGCCAGUAGUGACAUUGUUAUUCUCAAUAAUUUGUCGACUCAGUCUUUCAAAGAUGCUCAUAGAAAUAAGGUUAUAUGCGUAUAGAGGUAGGGUUGGGUGCGUGUAUCCGUAAAAGCAAGCGUGUUGAGAAUGUGAACAUCUACGUUCAUGCGGUGUGAUUCGGAAAAAAAGAUUGCUCAAGAAAUCACUACAUCAAGUAGCGAGGCAUUCUUUUUCUCCUAGUCCUAACCUAGCUAAAUGGCGUUCUUUUUCUCCUAGUCCUAACCUAAGGAAAACCGAAGAGUUUCCAUCCUAAUUGGAAUUUCGGUUUGCCGUUUCAAUCAGACUUUGACAAACUUAUCUCACAAAAUUACUGAUGAGAAUCAUGACAGCUUUACCUAGCUCACUUGAUAACAUCCUGGAAAAAGCUUACAGCUAAGCUACCACAUCAGCCAUAGUAGUAUUGCUACCCAGCAGAGAAAUUUGUGCACAACUAAUAAACUCACUCAGGUUGCAACAUACGAACAAUAACAGCUCUCGCCAAUGAAAUGAUUCCAAAGAAUGACUUGACACAGCACGAGGAGCAACCAAAGUACAAUGGAUGGAGUACAUCAACUCUGCCAUACGGAUAACAUCCCUUCCCCUUGAUAGCAGCACGGAAUCUAACAAGAUGGACAUCUAGGGAGCAACUAGAGCCUCAAAAA